UACGACGGGGGCUAGCGUUGCUCGGAAUUACUGGGCGUAAAGCGCACGUAGGCGGCUUUCUAAGUCGGGGGUGAAAUCCUGGAGCUCAACUCCAGAACUGCCUUCGAUACUGGAAAGCUCGAGUCCGGGAGAGGUGAGUGGAACUGCGAGUGUAGAGGUGAAAUUCGUAGAUAUUCGCAAGAACACCAGUGGCGAAGGCGGCUCACUGGCCCGGUACUGACGCUGAGGUGCGAAAGCGUGGGGAGCAAACAGG
rnacentral:rRNA from 1 species